UACGUAGGGGGCUAGCGUUGUCCGGAUUUAUUGGGCGUAAAGAGCGUGUAGGCGGCCAGGUAGGUCUGCUGUGAAAACUCGAGGCUUAACCUCGAGCUGUCGGCGGAAACCAUCUGGCUAGAGUCCGGAAGGAGGAGAAUGGAAUCCCGGUGUAGCGGUGAAAUACGCAGAUAUCGGGAAGAACACCCGUGGCGAAGGCGGUUCUCUGGGACGGUACUGACGCUGAGACGCGAAAGCGUGGGGAGCGAACAGG
rnacentral:rRNA from 1 species